AACGAACGCUGGCGGCAUGCCUAACACAUGCAAGUCGAACGAACCCUUCGGGGUUAGUGGCGCACGGGUGCGUAACGCGUGGGAAUCUGCCCUUGGCUUCGGAAUAACAGUUAGAAAUGACUGCUAAUACCGGAUGAUGUCUUCGGACCAAAGAUUUAUCGGCCAGGGAUGAGCCCGCGUAGGAUUAGGUAGUUGGUGGGGUAAAGGCCUACCAAGCCGACGAUCCUUAGCUGGUCUGAGAGGAUGAUCAGCCACACUGGGACUGAGACACGGCCCAGACUCCUACGGGAGGCAGCAGUGGGGAAUAUUGGACAAUGGGCGCAAGCCUGAUCCAGCAAUGCCGCGUGAGUGAUGAAGGCCUUAGGGUCGUAAAGCUCUUUUACCAGGGAUGAUAAUGACAGUACCUGGAGAAUAAGCUCCGGGCUAACUCCGUGCCAGCCGCCGCCGUAA
rnacentral:rRNA from 1 species